AGAGUUUGAUCAUGGCUCAGGAUAAACGCUGGCGGCGUGCCUAACACAUGCAAGUCGAACGCUCUGCGCAAGCAGGGAGUGGCGGACGGGUGAGGAACACGUGGGUUAUCCACCCUUAGGUGAGGAAUACCGGCGAGAAAUCGCCGACAAUACCGCAUAUGCUCGUAAGAGCAAAGCUCGCAAGAGCGCCUGAGGAUGAG
rnacentral:rRNA from 1 species